CCAAUAGCGUAUAUUAAAGUUGCUGCAGUUAAAGAGCUCGUAGUUGAAUUUCGGGACUAAUAUGUCGGUCGUGCCUCGGUACGUACUGGUAUUUUUGGUUUCUCCCUUCUGACGAACCUUGAUGUCAUUAAUUUGGUGUCUUGGGAAAUCAGGACUGUUACUUUGAAAAAAUUAGAGUGUUUAAAGCAGGCUCACGCUUGUAUACAUUAGCAUGGAAUAAUGAAAUAGGACGUUUGAUUCUAGUUUGUUGGUUUCUAGGAUCGACGUAAUGAUUAAGAGGGAUAGUUGGGGGCAUUAGUAUUCAAUUGUCAGAGGUGAAAUUCUUGGAUUUAUUGAAGACUAACUACUGCGAAAGCAUUUGCCAAGGAUGUUUUCAUUAAUCAAGAACGAAAGUUAGGGGAUCGAAGACGAUCAGAUACCGUCGUAGUCUUAACCAUAAACUAUGCCGACUAGGGAUCGGAUGAUGUUAAUUUUUUAAUGACUCAUUCGGCGCCUUACG
rnacentral:rRNA from 1 species